AUACGGAAAACAGAGUAGAAGCACAGAACAAGGACUAUUGUAUAUAAGAGAAGUAGGUGUUAAUGUAAGUUGCUGUGGAAUGACUCUGUUUUCAAGAAGACAAAGGGAGCCAAUACAUCUACUUUCAUUAAGAAGCUGAAAUUAAAUUUGAAUUUCCUUCUUUCCAAAGCUGAGACACGAUGGCAAAGAAGCAGAUUGCUGUGAUUGGAGCUGUAAUUAGCGAACUGGGUGCCAUUAAGUGCUGCUUAGAUGAAGAUCUGGAGCCCACCUGCUUUGAAAGAUAUGAUGAUAUUGGAGGUCUCUGGAAAUUUCAAAAAAAUACUUCAGAGAAAAUGCCUAGUAUUUACAAGUAAUCUGUGACCAUCAAUACUUCCAAGGAGAUGAUGUGCUUCAGUGACUUCCGUGUCCCUGAUAAUUUUCCCAAGUACAUGCACAGCUCCAAACUCAGGACUGCUUCAGGAUGCAUGCCACACACUUUGGCCUCCUCGAUUACAUUGGUUUUAAGACCAAAGUGCAAAGUGUGAGGAAGCACCCAGAUUUUUCUGUCAAUGGACAAUGAGAUGUUGUUGUGGAGACUGAAGAGAAGCAAGAGACUUUGGUCUUUGAUGGGGUCUUAGUCUGCAGUGUACACCACACAGAUCCCUACUUACCACUUCAGUCCUUCCCAGGCAUUGAGAAGUUUGAAGGCUGUUAUUUCCAUAGUCGGGAAUACAAAAGUCCUGAGGACUUUUCAGGGGAAAGAAUCAUAGUGAUUGGCACUGGAAAUUCUGGAGUGGAUGUUGCGGCGGAGCUCAGUUGUGUAGCAAAACAGAUUUGACCAGGAGGAACUGAGAUUCAACAUCCUCAAGACUGCAAAAGCACCUAUAAUCAAACAACUUAAUAUAUUUCCUAAUUUUAUCAGCAUGCAGACAAGUUUACAAAUACAUUAUAGAAAGAUUUGAAGAGUGAUUCUGGUUACGUUCAGUUAAGCAGGAUGCUAAUCCUGAACGAUCUGAUGUAUUAAAGUUUUUAAUGUUUGUAUCUUUGUUUUGAUGCAUACAAUAUAGUGGAAGUCUAUAGUAGUUAAUAUGAUGAUAAUUCACUUCUAAAUUUAAAUCCUUAUUUAUAUAUGAAGCAUAGCUAUGUCUAUGUCCAAGAAAGAAUUUUAAAAUAGUAAAUCAGAAACUUGUAAACUAGUGAAUACAAUUUUCUAUUUUUCAUUCAGAAAUUUGUUGUCAUAGACACAGCCUUUAACUGGAAAUCAGUAGACAGGUCUGGUCAAGCACAGCAUAGCGACCACUGUGUAGUAUUUUACUACCUAAUCCUCAGUAGCCAACACUGUUAAAUCUGCGCAAUGAGUAGCAUAUGAAUAAAAAUAAUAUC